UAACGGAUAACGAGGAAUUGGGGUUCGACAUCGGAGAGGGAGCUUUACAGAUGGCUACCACUUCUAAGGAAGGCAGCAGGCGCGUAAAUUACCCACUUUCGAAUUGAAGAGGUAGUGACGACACAUAACUCUAGAGUUGAGUAAAAUCAAUUCUUGAAGGAAUGAGUAGGAGGUAAAUUCUCCUACGAAAUCAAUUGGAGGGCAAGUCUGGUGCCAGCAGCCGCGGUAAUUCCAGCUCCAAUAGUGUAUAUUAAAGUUGCUGUGAUUAAAACGCUCGUAGUUGAAUUAAAAUGUGAUUUUAUACAUUUUGAAGACUUUACAUUAAGUGAAGUUUCUAGAAAUGUUAAAUUAAAAUCAAAGAAGGAGACAAUUCAAGUAAUUGAGUUGUCAUUACUUUGAAUAAAAUAAGGUGUUUAAAGCAAAACAUUAUGUUAAUGAAUAUUCAAGCAUGGGACAAUGCUGAGGAGAUGUCAAUUAGACAUUUCGAGAGAAGGAUUAAAAGGAACAAUUGGGGUGAUUCAGAAAAUAACGGGAGAGGUGAAAAUCCAUGAUCGCUAUAAGAUGCACGAGAGCGAAAGCAUUUCACUCAACUGGGUCCAUUAAUCAAGAACGAAAGUUAGGGGAUCGAAGACGAUCAGAUACCGUCGUAGUCCUAACUAUAAACGAUGUCAACCAAGGAUUGGAUGAAAUUCAGAUGUACAAAGAUGAAGAAACAUUGUUUCUAAAUCCAAGUAUAUCAAUACUACCUUGUUCAGAACUUAAAGAGAAAUCUUGAGUUUAUGGACUUCAGGGGGAGUAUGGUCACAAGGCUGAAACUUAAAGGAAUUGACGGAAGGGCACACCAGGAGUGGAGCCUGCGGCUUAAUUUGACUCAACACGGGAAAACUUACCAAGACCGAACAGUAGAAGGAAUGACAGAUUAAGAGUUCUUUCAUGAUUUAUUGGGUAGUGGUGCAUGGCCGUUCUUAGUUGGUGGAGUGAUUUGUCAGGUUAAUUCCGGUAACGAACGAGACUGAAACCUAUUAAUUAGUUUUCUGCCUAUAAGACAGAAAUGUUCGCAAGAACAGGUGCGUAAGUACCACUUCUUAAAGGGACACAUUUCAAUUGUCCUAUUUUAAUUGUUAGUUAUCUAAUUUCGAUUAGAACUCUUUUAACGUGGGAAAAAGAAAAAGGAAGCAUUCAGCAAUAACAGGUCUGUGAUGCCCUUAGACAUCUUGGGCCGCACGCGCGCUACAAUGGAGUUACUAGAGAGCAUUUUAUCAUUUACACCUUAUUUAUUAGGCUAUGUCUAAU
rnacentral:rRNA from 1 species